rnacentral:rRNA from 1 species
GAUGAACGCUAGCGGCAGGCUUAAUACAUGCAAGUCGAGGGGCAACAGGGGUAGCAAUACCUGCUGGCGACCGGCAAACGGGUGCGGAACACGUACAGAACCUUCCUUUAAGCGGGGGAUAGCCCAUAGAAAUGUGGAUUAAUACCCCAUAGCAAUAUUGACUGGCAUCAGUUGGUAUUUAAAGAUUUAUCACUUAAAGAUGGCUGUGCGGCUGAUUAGGUAGUUGGUGCGGGUAACGGCCCACCAAGCCAGCGAUCAGUAACUGGUGUGAGAGCACGACCAGUCACACGGGCACUGAGACACGGGCCCGACUCCUACGGGAGCAGCAGUAAGGAAUAUUGGUCAAUGGACGCAAGUCUGAACCAGCCAUGCCCGCGUGAAGGAUGGAAGGCCCCUCUGGGGUUGUAAAACUUUCUUUUAUCUGGGAAGAAAUGCCUGUUUUUCUAACGGGUUUGACGGUACCAGAGGAAUAAGCACCGGCUAACUCCGUGCCAGCCGCCG